UACGGAGGGGGCCAGCGUUGUUCGGAAUUACUGGGCGUAAAGCGCACGUAGGCGGCUUUGUAAGUUAGAGGUGAAAGCCCGGGGCUCAACUCCGGAAUUGCCUUUAAGACUGCAUCGCUAGAAUUGUGGAGAGGUAAGUGGAAUUCCGAGUGUAGAGGUGAAAUUCGUAGAUAUUCGGAAGAACACCAGUGGCGAAGGCGACUUACUGGACACAUAUUGACGCUGAGGUGCGAAAGCGUGGGGAGCAAACAGG
rnacentral:rRNA from 1 species